AUCAAAAGCUUUAAGAAAAGCUCUUUGUUUUUUGAAAUGGUGCUUUUAUGAGAUAGAGAUUUUUUAGAUAAUGCUUUUUUAGAUAAUGCUGGGGAAGGUUUUCCGGUUUAUCUCGGAGGGCUUGAAGCUCGGUGGGUUAGAGCGCGCGCUUGAUAAGCGUGAGGUCGGAGGUUCAAUUCCUCCCAGGCCCACCAAUUUACCUAUCCAUUUGCCUUUAUCUGUUUAUUUGCCGAUUUAUCGGUCCAUUGAAUUUAAAUGUUGGUAGCAGUUUUAUAAUGAUGAAAAAUCAUGCUUAUAAAAGAACUCCUUAUAAAAGGUUUGUUUUUAAAAUGUGACGCUUAUCCAUUUCCCUUAGGCAAGAAAAACUUCAAGCGGUUUAAAUGCAAAAGACUUUAAAUUUUGCAAAACACUUUGAAUUUUGCAAAACACUUUAAUUUUAAAGUGAUCCAAGUUCGUGAUCUCGAAUUUAAAAGUUUCGAAUGAUUUAUCCUUUUUGGGGGGCCGUAGCUCUU
rnacentral:misc_RNA from 1 species